UUUCUGGCACCAAAGGUUAAUCGUGACCAUGAUUUACAGUCUGUGAAAAGUAUAGAUAGAUAAGUGUUCAGGAAGAUAAGAUUAGUAGCCUUGAAAUUCACAAGGAGACAGUGAUUUUAAAAUCCUGCGUCACUGUGCACAUUUUGAAGAUUAUGACACACAUUCCACAGAAGUGAAAACAUGUAUUUUAAAAAAGAAAAUAGUUACAAGAUUAAAUCUUAUUAAUAAAUUAUUUUUUAAAAUUCAAAAGUAUGGAAGAAAUGAAACAUAGCACCUGCAAAGGCAGCUUCGGGGUUUUAAAUGGGGCGUGUAUGGGAUUCAGCUACUGCUGAGUACUAGUUAUAGAUCUUAAUUCUUAUUCGCUUACCCGCUGGCAGGAACACUCAUGCAGCAUGCGGGAAACCUGGCCUGUAAACUGUCCUCAGCCGCAGGGAUUUACAUUCAUCUUUUUCACCUCUGAGGAAAAGGAGUGCUAUGAUUAGCACACUCUGCGCCAGCCAGGCCCAUGGAUGAUGCUGGGCACUGUGCUGCCAAGCGCACAAACGCUGGGACCAAAGAGUAAGCAAGACUUUUGUAGCAUAAUGCUACUGCCCGUAGCUGGAGGGGGACAAGAUGACAUGUGUGUAGCUGUGAACCAUCAGAUGUCAGGCAUGCCUAUUUUACCCAUUAGGUGCGGUUACACAUGUGAUUUAUUUCCUUCCUUGCUCUCCAGUUCUGAAAAUAUGUAAAAUCCCACACUCCGAAAUUCAUUAAAAUACCAUAUUCUUUACUGCUAUUUAUAGGCUUUAACAAAAUCCAGACUGCUUUUUCAGGAAAGGAGAAACUUGAGAGCAAACACUCUGGGAAUCCAAGAGAGUUCCAGCAAUGAAAAUAAACGCUUCAAGCAUCUUAAUGGCACCUUGAAAGUGGAGGGGAAAAGAAAGUCUUUAGCUGGAAUGAUACCCCCCCAAACAUUUAAUCCUGAGGACCCUUUCUGAGGAUUUCUAAUGGAGGAAACUGAGAAGGAAUCACAGCUGGAGGAAACCAGACUACUGCAUGAGGGAGGGAAAUGGAUGACAGAUGAAGAAAGAGCAAUUUUCAUGACUUGUCAAUAUCAGGUCACCCAUCCAUGUCCUUAGGAAGACUUAAUGAAUGAAAGGGGAACCAGCCUGGACUCACGCUUCUGUUUCAAUGGUCGGAUGCUUUAAAUCACCAAAAAGCUGAAAAGAUGGAAGUUAGUGGCAGGGGGAAAAAUCCCAAACCAAAUGCAACAACCUCAUUUAGUUUAAUUCAGCGAACUAGAAAGGAGAACAAAGAAGAAAAUACUGCCUUCCUGAAUCUGCGGUGUUUUUUCCUUCAACUCACAGAAAGUUUGAAUUACCUUCAUCAAAGAUAUCCUUUUUGAAAUAUGCAUCAUGGGUCUUCUAGUAGUAAUGGAUUGGGAACAGGUGACCUCCCUUUGGCAAAGUGUCACUUCCUAAAGAAGGUCAACAUUUCUAUUCAAACUCUUACAUUAUUGGAUAUCCAUUCUGUGCGGCCGUGACUAUGGGAAAAAGGAAGAGAGCUGCGUUCAGAAGAUUAGAGGUCCAAACUAAAAGCUGGUGUCAAAGAGGAUGAGAUGGAAGAUGAGGAAGAAGAAAACAUAGAAAUGCCCCUACAGGAAAUAUCGAUGAAGUGUAUCUAGUGUGUUUUUAUUCAGAAUACUUUCCUCUUAUGCAAAAUUUCAAUAGAAUUUAGUAGAAAAAUUUAUCUAUCUGCAAUCUGGAGUUUAUAGUAAUGCAGGUGAAAGAAAAGAGCCAGCGCUGGAAGGAAGAGCUCUCUUGACACUGAACAGAACAGACGUGGCUGUCCGAGGAGUAGCCAUCCUGUCUGCAUGCCUGUCCAAAAUGGGAAUUGUGCACGAGUGGGAGAGGACUGAAUUCUUGGCAGCAUGUCAUGGAUGGGAUCAACAUGGCGAGACGACAUCAUCCUGUUUCGCUAAACCUGCUUUUGAAGGAUCUUGGAGACUGAAAUGGAGAAGUGGUGGAAGCAGGAGCCUGACUGGAAAAAUCUGUCUGAGGAAAUGAGCUGUAAGGGAGAGAAGACAGUUUAACGUGCCGUCACAGCAAGAGCAUUCCUGCGGCGGCCAGGACAUGACCGUUGCUGCAUCGCGGGAGCAGCGGGGAGGAAAUGUGGAGAGGACAGGGGGGCUGAUGAGGGCCAAGCUGUCAUCGUUCAGGCUUUAGCAGACACAUAUGCUGUUGGAGCGAUCUUUGUCACGCUGCGCUAGUCCAGGUGGAAAAUGUAGCCUGCUAGGCUUGAUUCUCCUCCCACUUAUCCACCAUUUAUUUAUACUAGUCUAAUUCUACUGAAUGAUGAAACAAGACCAAAACCACUUCUGCCAGUUUCAUGGACCUUUUUGCUCCCUCUGAACCAAUGUGAAC